rnacentral:tRNA from 1 species
GGGGAUAUAGCUCAGUGGUUGAGUGUGUGCUUCUCAUGUAUAAGGUCCUGAGUUCAAUCCCCAGUACCUCCU